UCUGGCCUCUGGUUGUAUGUGUGCCUGUGGUUGUUGUGCUGUGGGCUGUUGUUCUGCUGCUCCUCUACAAACUGAAGAAGAGGAGGAACUCUGGUUUGAACACCAGAUGAACCUCAGACAGCAGAAACAUGGAGUUAUGUGUCAUCAAUGAGAACCGUCCUCCAGUCUCCACGUAUUAGGACUCCGUCUACCAGAGCCUGGAUCCAGACAGCAGGGAUCCGGACCAAACCUACUCUACACUCACAGCAAACACAUGAUGAUGUUUGGAUUUGGAUCUGGAUUCUGUACUGUGCAGGUUAACAUGUGCUGAGAGAUUCCAGUUUGUUCUACUUUCUUUUUUUUGUUUAAUCAGCAGAUAUUAACUAUAAACAUGCUAUUUUUCACCUCUAUGCUGAUGAUACACAACUGAUCAUGUUUCUUCUUACUUGCUUAUUCUGAAAUGUUCAUUCUGUCUU